UCGCACACAAAGUUUAACAUUUUCAGAAGUUUGCCCAUUUAAUUUAUGUAGCCCAGCACGAACCAAAUCCUGGCCCACCAAAAGUCUAUAUGAACUUCCAUCUUCUUUCUCGGCUUUGAAACCUUUGCUUCCACAACGUCUGGGAUACCGCCUUCACUGUGUAAGAGAUAGAAACAGAGAGAGAGAGAGAGUGGAGUUUACUAAGAUAGAGAUGGGAGGUGUGACUUCUUCAAUUGCGAUGAAGGUGGCGCUCUUCGGCCGUAUCAGUUAACUUGCAAGGCAAUCAGAGACAACGCAUACGGUGGUCCGAUGUUGGAGCUCUCUAUCGAGCUAACUAUUCAACUUUUUGUCAAUUUGAUGGGAAAACGAGUACCGUUUCCAAAGGAGAGGAAAUCUAUCUAAAUAUAUCCAAAGUACCAGGAGAUUGUUAAUAUUCGCUUAGGUGAUGGAUCUAUGAGAACCGUGGUCAGGUCAUGGAGGUUGAUGGCGAGAAAGAUGUUGUCCAAGGCAAUUGGCUGUACAGGUACAAUGUUCUCAAUAAACUUAUUUUCUUUUGGUUUCAGGUUUUUGAAAGAACAUCUGAAAUUGACACCGUUCAAUUCACCGAGUUACUGAAAACACAUGUAUCUCAAUAGAUGCUUGGGCGCAUUUUUAACGGCUCAAGAAAGACAAUUGAUUAUGGCCCUCCUAUUUUGCCUGAGGCAUACCUUGAUAUUUCUGAUGUGCAUGAGACUAUUCCUGAAGGCAUUAAUCUUAGAGGAGACAUAAACGGCUGUGCUAAAUCCUCAUUCCUAAGGCGUAGUGUGUGUAUACAUCUAGGAAGUCCUCUUCUGCAGCUGGGUUGAUUGCAACUGUGGCUAAAAAAACCUUAAACUGCAGGCUGGUACUUUAACGCUUGAUAAUGGAAUAUGUUGCGUUCAUGAGUUUGACAAGAUGGAUAUGUAAAACCAGGCUGCAAUUCGAGAAGCCAUGGAGCAGCCACAAUAAGCACUAUUUUUCUGUGUGUAGAUCCGUCUACUUCCCAUGCUUGAGGAGUAUAACUUACUCAUGCGGUAAAGAGAAAGAACACCGACUCCAAUGGAUUUGAUGAAGCUCCAAGAACAGCUCAUAGCAGAACAUGAGGCACUUUACGGGUCAAAACCGAGCCCAUUUAAACCCCUUGGUGAUUUAAAAUGCUCCUGGAAUGUCAACCGGUGCCGGUAGUGCUGCAACCAACCGAAGACUUUCCUUUAAGAGCCGGAAUGUGUGGGCAAAAUGUGUUAAUUAUCAUCCGUUUGUUACUCAUAAACUUGCUCUGUACAACAUAAAGGUUGGGGCAAAAUGUGCUGCGAGCUCUGCAUUUUGUUUAUAGAUGCCAUUGGAAAGUAGAGAUUUGUCUGUAACCUAAACGGUUUUAUAAGCACUGCAAGUUUUGAUAA